GACGAACGCUGGCGGCGUGCUUAACACAUGCAAGUCGAACGGAAAGGCCCUGCUUUUGUGGGGUGCUCGAGUGGCGAACGGGUGAGUAACACGUGAGUAACCUGCCCUUGACUUUGGGAUAACUUCAGGAAACUGGGGCUAAUACCGGAUAGGAGCUCCUGCUGCAUGGUGGGGGUUGGAAAGUCUCGGCGGUUGGGGAUGGACUCGCGGCUUAUCAGCUUGUUGGUGGGGUAGUGGCUUACCAAGGCUUUGACGGGUAGCCGGCCUGAGAGGGUGACCGGCCACAUUGGGACUGAGAUACGGCCCAGACUCCUACGGGAGGCAGCAGUGGGGAAUAUUGUACAAUGGGCGGAAGCCUGAUGCAGCAACGCCGCGUGCAGGAUGACGGCCUUCGGGUUGUAAACCGCUUUCGCCUGUGACGAAGCGUGAGUGACGGUAAUGGGUAAAGAAGCACCGGCUAACUACGUG
rnacentral:rRNA from 1 species